rnacentral:rRNA from 1 species
UUAGUUGCCAGCAUUUAGUUGGGCACUCUAAGGGGACUGCCGGUGAGUAAGCCGAGAGGAAGGUGGGGAUGACGUCAAGUCCUCAUGGCCCUUACGGGCUGGGCUACACACGUGCUACAAUGGUGGUGACAGUGGGCAGCGAGCACGCGAGUGUGAGCUAAUCUCCAAAAGCCAUCUCAGUUCGGAUUGCACUCUGCAACUCGAGUGCAUGAAGUUGGAAUACGCUAGUAAUCGCGGAUACAGCAUGCCGCGGUGAAUACGUUCCCGGGCCUU